UCAGGGGCUGCGGGCACCAUGGCCUGGACUCCUCUCCUCCUCGUGCUCCUCUCUCAGUGCACAGGUUCCCUCUCGCAGCCUGUGCUGACCCAGCCGCCCUCCCUCUCUGUGUCUCCGGGAGGAACGGCCCGACUCACCUGCACCCUCAGCAGUGGCUUCAAUGUUGGCAGCUAUGCUAUAUCCUGGUUCCAGCAGAAGCCAGGGAGCCCUCCGCGGUAUCUGCUGUCCUACUACUCAGACUCAAUCAAGCACCAGGGCUCCGGGGUCCCCAGCCGCUUCUCUGGGUCCAAAGACGCCUCGGCCAACGCCGGGCUCCUGACCAUCUCUGGGCUGCAGCCUGAGGACGAGGCCGACUAUUACUGCCAGACUUACGAUGGUAGUGCUACUAAUUACACAGUGCUCCAGACUCAGGGGGAAGUGAGACAAAAACUCCCCAGAGCUUCCCCUUCUGGGUCUGUCCUCGGCCUGUCUCCGCCAAGGAGGGCUGCUCUCUUCUGUCUCCUGCCGGAAAGAUCCUGGGCCCAGUCUGUGCUGACUCAGCCGCCCUCAGGGUCUACGGCCCUCGGACAGAGGGUCACCAUCUCCUGCACUGGAAGCAGCUGCACUGGAACCAACAUUGAGUAUGACUAUGUCCUCUGGUACCAGAAGUUCCCAGGGACGGCCCCUAAACUCCUGGUCUAUCAUGAGAGCCAUUAA